ensembl:rRNA 5S_rRNA 5S ribosomal RNA
GUCUAUGGCCAUACCACCCUGAACACACCUGAUCUCAUCUGAUCUCAGAAGCUAAGCAGGGUCGGGCCUGGUUAGUACUUGGAUGGGAGGAAGGAGGAGACAGGCUCCAGAGCAA